GGCAUCUCAGGGCUGGGAAGGCGGGCGGCCCACAGACCCUGCCCUCAGCCCCGCGGCGCCGCCCGCAGAGGGACUGGCGGUCAUCGCUCACCACGCGGUCCAGCAUCGCUGGGGUCCCACCUGCUCCUCCCAGCUGUAGGGAACAUUAGAUAAUGGAACAGACACCACAGCGCGAGUGUUAACUAGGUGCCAGGUGCCGGGCGAGGUCCCCACGCGUGUCCCCGGUGCAGGCAGCAGGUGCAUCAUGACCUCUUGGGCUGGACAAGCCCAGUGGGGGCAGCAGCUGGGAGUGUCCCUGACAGUCAGGGGACAGACACCAAUGGGAUCAGUGCCAGUGGUGACCUGCGCCCCCGACCUCCCCCGACCGCUUCUCUCUGCAGCCAUGAAGGGUAGGCACGUGCCCAUCUGGGGCUGGUAAGCCACGCACAGAGGAGUGGGACCCGGUGCUCGCGGGACACCUGCUCCAUCCCGACGGCCAGCUUGACUCCCAGGCAGACCCCUGAGGUUGGGAACAUCAUUACCACGUUCCGCACAAUUGAGUGCUAAAGCUCAGAGAGGUUAGGUCACCUGCCCAGGGUCACAUGGCUCGUGGGUGGCAGAGUGGAUCCAUAGCCACUGCGUCCCAGCAGGCCGGCUGGGUUGCACGGUCCACUCGAUUCCUCGCUGGCCUGCAGGCUGCGGCCUCCUACGAGGGCAGGCUUCUCCAGGGUCCCCGGCUCAUCGAACAGACUCUCAGCGGAGGGAUGAAGGACAGAGGGAAGGCCACUCGCCGUGUUGUGCUGGGUUCCCAAGGACUGUGCCAGACAACAGGGGCUCCAGUGACCCCACCCUCAGUCCAGGAUGAAGGGCCGCACGCGAACACGGGUGCUGCGAGGUGCCAAGGGCAGCGCACCAGGCUCUCAGACACGUGGAGGGACGGCGGUGGCUCCUGGCCUCUGCUGCCAGCUGUCUAGGGCAGAGGCAAUGUAGGUGGGCAGCCGGUGGCCAGGAGGAUAAGAGAGAAGAGAAGAGGGAUUGAAGAAACCGCUGAACUUAGCUGUUCCUUGACCACCGGCAUUAUUAUCCUGUUACCUCCAAGAAGAAGGAAAACAAGCACAUUGAAACCUUAGGUGGACCUUGUUCCUUUUCCCUCUGCACAUUUUCGUUUGCACAUUUUCACUUCAUGCUGUACCCAUGGCCCCUCACAGGGGGCCACCCUGUCCUCACCUCCAGCUCCCCUGACGUUUCUUCAACCCUGCCUUUCAUUCUUGCAGAGGUCGAUGUUGUUCCAAGACAAUAGUUCAUGCAGUAGUUUUUGUUUCGUGAUAAUUUUUAAAGGGCUGUGUGUUCACUUCCUGUCCCUGGACCUCCCCCCACUUCCUGCCCACUCCCACCCCCACCCUGCCACCCCCGUCUCCAGAACCAUGUUAUUCAACUGGACUCUCUAGCAGGUGUUUUAUCCAUGUCUCCUUCCAGGGCUCCCGUGUUGGGGAGGUCAUGGAGGGAUUGGACACAGGGAGACAAUUUAGCUGGGUAUAAUAGUUCCGCUCGAUGCAUCUUCCCCCGGGGAUGACUGAUUCAUGUCUGUGGGCCCCUCCCCUGGGCUCUCAGGGAGGCUAUCCUUGAAUGUUAAUGGAUCAGCAAAACUUCAGUGCACGGGCUCCCCUUCUGCCCCGAGUCCACGUUGUACAUCUGCUUCGUUAAACAAAAAUAUGUGAAAAGGAGCAUUCUGAAUGCAAGAUAAAGAAGGAACCAAUGUCCUUGGUUCCCAUGAGAUUAAAGUCAUGCAAUCCUGCAUAUCCUACAAACUUAAAGGCCUGCAACCUUCUAAUAAUCUGUAACUUUUUAUGUAAAAACUGUGCAUGACCUUCACCAGACGCCCCCUUCCCAGAGCAGUCUUCUUCACGAAGACUCUGUAUCCAGACAGCCAUCCUGACUUGGGCUGGAAUAAAAUGCUUCCCUUGUUUCAGGAAUUCUGAAAGCUCUGUUCAUUUUGUGUCCAAAUAACUGACAUCCGUUCUCCUGGGUUGGUAGACCCUGAGUUGAAUUGGGUGUCUUCAUUUUCCUUCUUUUGAUUUGCCCAAAUUAUGUAUUUUUUUCUGAUUAUAUAUAUUUUUUUCAAGAAGCCGUCCUUGGUCACCUGUUCCCUGUGUUCAUUCGUGCUUGAGCACAGCUGACUCUCAUAUUUCUAUUUCAAAGAAAAACAUAAAUAUAAAAUUCUGUAUGUAAAUGAUAACACGCUCAGGUCACAGUGAGUCCCCUGGAGAUGCCACAGGCACGCAGAUCCCAGUGUCUGACUCCCUGAAGGCAGAGACCUGGGUUCUGCGCUUCACCCACCGUGCUGGGGCCUGGUACUUGUGUCUGGUAGGUGACAGCGCUGUUCCGUUCCUGCCGGCACAUCCAGAGAAUUAUCUUGUCAUGUCUCUAAAGCCCAAUAACCUAAUCGAGAUUCAUCUCGAGCUGUUUCUGUGUCAGAUUUUCGGAUAACGCUGUCCACUCACUCAGCCCUGGGGGGCUUCAUCUCCCUGGCGUUCCAUGCCAGUGCCCGGUGCGCUUGCCUCAGCCUCUGUUCCAGGGCCCCCGGUUCAUCAGAUGUCUUCCGUGGCUAGCACCGAUGGCCUCAUUAUCCUGCCUGCAUCUUCCCCACGUGCUGCUCUGAUGAUCUGGAGCUCUGCCUUAUGCCGGUAAUUCCAGGGAAGCCAGCCUCGCCCGUCCUUGUCACUUCUGAUUUAUCUCCUGGGUCUCUGUGAGUGUUGUGUUCCUCGCCAUGCCCUCGGCCUUCCCUCCUGGAUGCAGCUUCCCUGUUUGCUCUCAUUGUUCUUAGGAAUCUUUUCCCAAAUGAUCACGAAAUGCACCCCGUGCUUAGGACGCCCGGAUGGCUCAGCUGUUGAGCAUCUGCCUUGGGCUCAAGUCGUGAUCCCAGGAUCCCGGGAUCAAGUCCCACAUCGGGCUUCCAGCAGGGAGUCUG